rnacentral:rRNA from 1 species
GACAGAGGAUGCAAGCGUUAUCCGGAAUGAUUGGGCGUAAAGCGUCUGUAGGUGGCUUUUUAAGUCUGCCGUUAAAUCCCAGGGCUUAACCCUGGAUAAGCGGUGGAAACUACCAAGCUGGAGUACGGUAGGGGCAGAGGGAAUUUCCGGUGGAGCGGUGAAAUGCGUAGAGAUCGGAAGGAACACCGGUGGCGAAAGCGGCGCGCUGGGCCUCUUCUGACGCUGAGGCGCGAAAGCCAGGGGAGCAAACGGG